UACGAAGGGGGCUAGCGUUGCUCGGAAUCACUGGGCGUAAAGCGCACGUAGGCGGACUCUUAAGUCAGGGGUGAAAUCCUGGAGCUCAACUCCAGAACUGCCUUUGAUACUGGGAGUCUUGAGUUCGGGAGAGGUGAGUGGAACUGCGAGUGUAGAGGUGAAAUUCGUAGAUAUUCGCAAGAACACCAGUGGCGAAGGCGGCCAACUGGUCCGGUACUGACGCUGAGGUGCGAAAGCGUGGGGAGCAAACAGG
rnacentral:rRNA from 1 species